rnacentral:sRNA from 1 species
UGGGGCUCCCGCCGGUUCUGCAGGUCG